rnacentral:tRNA from 1 species
CCGGCCUUAGCUCAGCUGGAAGAGCGAAGGACUGUAAUUGGUGCAGAGCAUCCUUAGGUCGCCCGUUCGAUCCGGGCAGGCCGGA